AGCGUAGACGGAAUGGCAAGUCUGAUGUGAAAGGCCGGGGCUCAACCCCGGGACUGCAUUGGAAACUGUCAAUCUAGAGUACCGGAGGGGUAAGUGGAAUUCCUAGCGUAGCGGUGAAAUGCGUAGAUAUUAGGAGGAACACCAGUGGCGAAGGCGGCUUACUGGACGGUAACUGACGUUGAGGCUCGAAAGCGUGGGGAGCAAACAAG
rnacentral:rRNA from 1 species